AUGCAAGUCGAACGAUGAUGCCCAGCUUGCUGGGUGGAUUAGUGGCGAACAGGGUGAGUAACACGUGAGUAACCUGCCCCUGACUCUGGGAUAAGCGUUGGAAACGACGUCUAAUACUGGAUAUGAUCACUGGCCGCAUGGUCUGGUGGUGGAAAGAUUUUUUGGUUGGGGAUGGACUCGCGGCCUAUCAGCUUGUUGGUGAGGUAAUGGCUCACCAAGGCGACGACGGGUAGCCGGCCUGAGAGGGUGACCGGCCACACUGGGACUGAGACACGGCCCAGACUCCUACGGGAGGCAGCAGUGGGGAAUAUUGCACAAUGGGCGAAAGCCUGAUGCAGCAACGCCGCGUGAGGGAUGACGGCCUUCGGGUUGUAAACCUCUUUUAGUAGGGAAGAAGCGAAAGUGACGGUACCUGCAGAAAAAGCACCGGCUAACUACGUGCCAGCAGCCGCGGUAAUACGUAGGGUGCAAGCGUUGUCCGGAAUUAUUGGGCGUAAAGAGCUCGUAGGCGGUUUGUCGCGUCUGCUGUGAAAUCCCGAGGCUCAACCUCGGGCUUGCAGUGGGUACGGGCAGACUAGAGUGCGGUAGGGGAGAUUGGAAUUCCUGGUGUAGCGGUGGAAUGCGCAGAUAUCAGGAGGAACACCGAUGGCGAAGGCAGAUCUCUGGGCCGUAACUGACGCUGAGGAGCGAAAGCAUGGGGAGCGAACAGGAUUAGAUACCCUGGUAGUCCAUGCCGUAAACGUUGGGCGCUAGAUGUAGGGACCUUUCCACGGUUUCUGUGUCGUAGCUAACGCAUUAAGCGCCCCGCCUGGGGAGUACGGCCGCAAGGCUAAAACUCAAAGGAAUUGACGGGGGCCCGCACAAGCGGCGGAGCAUGCGGAUUAAUUCGAUGCAACGCGAAGAACCUUACCAAGGCUUGACAUACACCGGAAACGGCCAGAGAUGGUCGCCCCCUUGUGGUCGGUGUACAGGUGGUGCAUGGU
rnacentral:rRNA from 1 species